rnacentral:rRNA from 1 species
UGACUGAGUGGCGGACGGGUGAGUAAUGUCUGGGAAACUGCCUGAUGGAGGGGGAUAACUACUGGAAACGGUAGCUAAUACCGCAUAACGUCGCAAGACCAAAGAGGGGGACCUUCGGGCCUCUUGCCAUCGGAUGUGCCCAGAUGGGAUUAGCUAGUAGGUGGGGUAACGGCUCACCUAGGCGACGAUCCCUAGCUGGUCUGAGAGGAUGACCAGCCACACUGGAACUGAGACACGGUCCAGACUCCUACGGGAGGCAGCAGUGGGGAAUAUUGCACAAUGGGCGCAAGCCUGAUGCAGCCAUGCCGCGUGUAGGAAGAAGGCCUUCGGGUUGUAAAGUACUUUCAGCGGGGAGGAAGGGAGUAAAGUUAAUACCUUUGCUCAUUGACGUUACCCGCAGAAGAAGCACCGGCUAACUCCGUGCCAGCAGCCGCGGUAAUACGGAGGGUGCAAGCGUUAUUCGGAAUUACUGGGCGUAAAGCGCACGCAGGCGGUUUGUUAAGUCAGAUGUGAAAUCCCCGGGCUCAACCUGGGACUG